CGCUGCCGCUGCCGCUACCGCUGC
rnacentral:siRNA from 1 species